CUCUGGCCGCGCGCGAGCUCCUCUGCUGAACGCUGCUGUUCGGCUCCCUGCUGCGUCUCCCUGCCAUGGCAUGCCCAGGCUCCAGCUCGCCCUGCGCUAAGAUUCCGUCUCCCUCUACGCAUCUCUCUCUGGUCGCUCGCUCUCAGUGGAGCUCGGUCUCCAUCUGCGUGCAGCCGUCGAGCUCCCCUGCUCGCUGGUCGCCCUUCCCUCUAUCCGCUUGCGCGCAGCCGCGUCCCUGCUCUGCUCGUCGGGCGCGCAGGUCCUUGCUGGUGCUCAGCUCCAGUCGACCGCGCGCGCUGCUCCCUGCACUCGCCUGGCGUUCGCCCCUGCCUUCCCAUGGCCGGAACUCCCAGCGCCGCGGCUACCUUUCUCUGGUGCUUGGCUAGCUCGCCGUCGGGCUGGCUCAAGCCCCAUCGCGGCACUCCAGCUCGCCUAGUCUCCGCGCCGCGACACUCCCUCUGGUCCGCGCUUCCUUCAGCUCGGCCAUGGCGAGUCCCUCCCGUCUCUGUUCUUUCCCUGCUUGCGUCGUGAUCUCCCAGCUCCUCAAUACUUGUUCAGUCGUCUCGGUUCGCUCGGCCUCAAAUUCCAGCGCCUCGCCGCCUCGCCCUACUCUCGUGGUUCGGCGACAGCCGGCGCGAGCCUGGCCGUGGCGGUGUUGUGGUGUGGGGACGUCGUGCGCGUCGCGACAGCUGUCUUGGCCGCGAAGCAGUCCGCGCCAUAGAAUUCGCCCGACCGCGACAUUGCUUUACUUCUCGCGUCGUUGCUCGCCAAGUCCUUUCUCAGUCCGCGCCAUAAAAUUCACUUGGACACGAUCUCGUCGUCGUUCCGCGUGUCGUCAAGAAAUCCCAAGAAUCGGGUGAAGACGGAGUUAGCAGCGCGAUAUUCCCCAAGCGCUCGACAAAUUGCCUGGAUCGGAAAAUCGCUACCGAUCUCGCGGAUUCGUGUCAGCUGUGGAAACGGUACGUGAAUUAACCACGCGAUGCGGAGAACCAGAACUGAGUCGACCAUAAGAUGGUGCUGAUGAACGGAACUGGAGAUGGACAGACGAUGCAAGUAUCGGGACAAAGGAUGGUCGUCAAGUGAUCGACGUCUAACAAACACUAACCUAGUGUUUAUUCCAGGUUAUAGUUUUUGUGCUGCUGUUGAUGGUGUUAAGUGCCGGUGGGCUCGGCCUUCUUAUAUAAGUAUACCCCGCCUUUAUCUUCUUAUUGAGGAUGGUCACUUGAGCUAGCAUAUAUUUCAAAACUAUAAAUAAUUUAUAACCGUUCAAAGUUUCUUUCUUUGAAUCAAUGUAGUAAUCACUCUGAUCAUGUACGAAGUAAAAUUUUUGUAACUUGUAAAAUUUGGUAAUAAGAUUUCCGCUGC